rnacentral:lncRNA from 1 species
CUGGAGGCAGCGUUUAUGCUGAACGGUCACACGGUGAACCUGCGGGCGGGCGGCUGCCACCUGAUGCAGAGACCUGCAGCAGUGGUUUCACCUGCAGUUUGCACACGAAGCAACCACGCCUGCAUUUCAAACUCCUUUCCUCUUAUUCCUGAGUUACGUUACAGGGUGUUCUGGAAUCUCAGGGGCUGUUAACUGACCAGUUUUGGACAGAAGUAGUAAUAUUAACAGGACUACACCUCUUGACUCUGGGACUUCCACUGGGACUUGACGUGGAACUCCUUGCUGGGUCUUUCCGUGGCCUGGUCCCACUGGAGCGGGGUGAAUUCUGCAAGGAAGAAAGCCACAGCCAGGUCAGCACUGCAGAA